UAGUUUGGUUCUCAUUUUGUUGUGAGCAAAUGUUUGUCAGUUGAAUUCAUAUGCUUAGUUGGUUGAUUCAAAAUGUGUGCUUUAAUUGGUAUAAUUUUGGAUUUAGUGAGGAGGAUAGAAGAUGGUUUAUGGAGGCGAUGCAAGGGCAGAAAUAGAAUGCAGAGUGUAUAAUGAAUACUAAUGGUGAAACAAGCAGGCUAAAUCCCAGAAAAGCACCAUGUUUCUAUAAUUUUGUCUCUAAGAUGGUUCUAUGAUCACUUUCAUUUUGAUAUUAGGUGUUUAUGUUAUAAAUCCCAGAAAAGCACCAUGUUUCACUGAUCCUUCAUUUUCCCUUUCGGAAUAUAGCAAAGCCUGAAAGCUUUCUCAUUAUAUAUGUGAUGCUGUUUGUCAUCAGGGUGGUGUCCAGAGGGUCCAUUUAUUGGAUGGCACAAUUGGGGGAGUGUUAUUGAAGGAAUUGUUUCAGAGAGAUGGAGUGGGUACCAUGGUAGCUAGAUAUAGGUCAGCAACAGAUGCCCAGUUAGGUGAAGAGAUCUGGAAUAUACUUAUGCUGUCAGUAGCUUGUGCCUGUUUUUUCAACUCCAAUACUGCAAAGUAACUAAUGAAUUAAAAUCCCUGCCUGUUGCAGAUAUUUCUUCUUCUAUUUCUGGUCGAUACCAAUAUUGACGAUUUUGAUUUGUCUCUACAUGAUUUAGCCUGCUUGUUUCACUUGGAGUCUCUCGAGAGCUUCAUAAACCAGGCGUCUGAGCUCGCUCUGGUCCGCCCGUUGCCCGGGCGAACCGGCAUGAUCGAAGCAGCAUUAGACAGACAACGUUGCGUGUGUGGGAUGUUCUUUUCUACGAGGGAGCAAAGGUUUUAUUCAGUGUAGCCUUGGCAAUUUUUAAGAUGAAUGAAGAAGAGUUGCUGUUGACACAUCAUGUAGGUGAUGUGAUAAUUGUUAUACAGAGAAGUACUCAUUACCUCUUUUGAUCCUCUGAUGAAUUGAAGACAACGGGUGCAUAUCCUGGAAGCAAGAGAAACAAGCAGCUAAAGUGACGGAAGCCAAAAGGAAACGAGAAGAGGCAUUUUUAUGAUCAACAAUAUUUUAUUGGAUUUGAUGUAGGAUGAUUGUAUGAUGGAUAUUUUUUCAAUGUAGGAUGAUAAAGAAUAUUUGAAAUUAAUGAAUGACCUUUUUAUUA